GGUGAAAUGAAUCUUCUGAAAUAACUGUCACUUUCCAGACUAGAAAACCCAUGGCCUUUUGACAUUUAAACAAAACACUGAAAAUAUUUUAAAGGAAGUGUCCAAAGACUAGACCAGGCCUGUGUUCCUGGUGAGCAGCUGUCAGGGACUGCUUGGUGUUGACAAGAAUGAAUUUUGACAAAUAUUUAGAAUGAUACCUUGGUAGUGUAAUGGUUUUAUGUGUUUGGCAGGUAACCAAAAGGUCGGCAGUUCAGAUCCUCCAGCUGCUCCGUGGAAACCCUGUGGGGCAGUUCUACUCUGUCCUGUAUGGUCGCUGUAAGUCAGAAUUGACUCAAUGGAUGGGUUUGGGUUUUUUUGGUAUUAAGGAUCUGAGGAUUUUUUGCAGGAAAUGGCAAAUGUUGGCAGUAUAGGUCUCGGGUUCUCCCUCACCUUUCCCUCCCUCCAGAAAGACUUUUCCUGUUUUAUAUUGUUAAUAAGAAAAUGUUUGACGUGAAAAGAAAUACUUCUUUCCCACUGCUAUGGAUUGAAUUGUGUCCCCCAAAUAUGCUGAAGUCCUAAUCCCUGGGGGCUGUGAACAUGACCUUGUUUGGAAACAGGGUCUUUGCAGAUGUUAUCAGUGGGGCAGAGUGGUUAAGAGCUGGCAGUUCGAAUCCACCAGCUGCUCCUUGGAAACUCUAUGGGGCAGUCGUACUUUGUCCUGUAGGGUCACUCUGAGCCGGAACCAACUGAACAGCAACAGGUUUGGUUUUACCAGGGUGGGGUGGGUCCUAAUCCCUUCUGAGUGGUGUCCUUAUGAAAGAGGAGAAGAGACACAGACAGAGAAAGGACAGUCAUGUGAAGAUGCCGCUAUAAGCCAAGGGUCACCUGGGGCUACCAGAGGCUAGGCGAGGCAAGAAGGGAUCUUCCCCUAGAGAUGUAAGAGGGAGCAUGGCCCAGCUGAUGUGUGGAUUUAGACUUCGGACCUCCAGAACUGUGAGACAAUAAAUUUCUGUUCUUAUAAGCCACCACCAGCUUGUGGGACUUUGUUACACCAGCCUAGGCCUCACACACACCCACCAUGCAGUUUUCAUCUGAACAAAUGUCUCCUCAUUGAGGCACUCCGUGUGGGUGGUGGCUGGGGUCCAUGAAGACCAGUGGUUGGCAGGUCUGUGGGGCCAGGACUGGGGGUUUCAUCAGUGUAGGUGUUUGGAGUUUGAUGGAGAAUGGGCUCGGGGUUGGAGCAUAUAUGGGUAAGAGACAAACAUAAUAACUCAUCACAGGGCAGUCAUCUUUCCUGUUCCUCCCUAAGACAUAGCACCCUUUACUUAAGUGACUUUGGAUUCCUGCAUCACCAAGGGACAAAUCUGGAUACAGCCCCCAGGCCCUGGACAUCUCAGGAAGAAGUUACAGUCCUCAAGUCAGCAUAUUGUGACAAAGGAACUUCAAACACAUGGCUAGAAGCCUGGUACAUGAUGGAAGACUAUUGAAAGGUGGAGACAUAGUGAAUUCCAAACAGGAGGUGAUUUUGCAACAGUUUGGAGCCUGAAGGGAAAAAAAGAGAAAGAGCUGGAGUUGAAUGCCCGGGGACUUGGAGGGAACACAAACAAAAAAUCCAGCCAGAAGAGGCCACUGGAGUUUCCUAAGUGGUGAAGGACUCUGAACUGAAAUGAAUGAACCAGAGCUGAAAGUGCCGAUUUCCUCCCUCCGUUGUAGGAAAAUUGAACGUCUCGGUCCUCUCUGGAUUCCAGUGCAAACAACUGUCUGCUCCUUUCAAAACACCGACACAGAGGUCCGGACUGUUCUGUGCCUGGAAAUUGUGUUCCAGAGACAGAGAGCAACUUGUUGAAAGUCACUCGAAUAAGACCCCGGGGCUGAAAAGAUAAUUUUCACAGUCCUUUAGCUGAAUCUGCCAUUGAUGGGAGAAGCAGAGGAAGUGACAGAACAGCACUGAAGGAGUGACUUUUAAACCUACCGUGUUGUUAGUGCCGUGGAGGUGGCUCUGACUCAUGGUAACCUCAUGGAUGACAGAACGAAACACUGUCCAGUCCUGCGCCGUCUUCACGAUCAUUGGUAUGAUUGAGUCCAUUGUGGUGGCCACUGUGUCAAUCCACCUCCUUGAGAGUUUCCCUUGUUUUCGCUGAGCCUCUACUUUACCAAACAUGAUGUCCUUGUCUAGCGAUUGGUCUUCCUGAUGACAUGUCCAAAGUAAGCAAGAGGAUGUUUUGCCAUCAUUGCUGCUAAGGAACAUUCUGGUUGAAUUGUUUCUAAGACUGAUGUGUUUGUUCUUCUGGCAGUCCACGGUACGUUCAAUACUCUUCGCCAACAAAACUUACUAUAGUUCUGCAAUUAAUAAUAAAUUUAUUUGUAGUGUGCUCUGUUAAUAUCCCAACUGGGUUGUCUCUUUUGGUUGCAAGUGAUAGAAUACCCAACUGGGUUAAACCAAACCAAAUCUGUUGCUGUUGAGUCAAUUUCAACUCAUAGCAACCCUACAGGACUGAACAAAACUGCCCCAUAGGGUUUCCACCAAACCAAAAACCAAACCCGCUGCCGUCGAGUCAAUUCCGACUCAUAGCGACCCUAUAGGACGGAGUAGAACUGCCCCAUAGAGUUUCCAAGGAGCGCCUGGUAGAUUCAAACUGCUGACCUUUUGGUCAGCAGCCAUAGCACUUAACCACUACACCACCAGAGUUUCCAUAGGGUUUCCAAGGCUGUAAUAUUUACGGAAACCAACUGCCACAUCUUUCUCCUGUGGAGUGGCUGUUGAGUUCAAACAGCAGACCUUUGAGUUACCGACCCCACACUUAACCACUGUGCCACCAGGUCUCCUUCGACUGAGUUAAGCACCAAAAACAAUUCAUUGCUUUGUUGGAAUGAAAUUAUAGGCUUCCAAUGCAGAUGGAUGUAGGAGCCCAAACUAUGUCACCAGGAUGUGGUUUUCAGCUUCCCCUGUGUCUCCUUUGCUCUCUCUAGUUCUUGGCUCCAUCUUCUCCAUGUCAAGUUCAUCCUUGGACUCUCGGCCCUAGUGGUCACAAGAUGGCGGCACUAGCUAUAGUGCUUUAAAGAGAAGAGAGAGAGCUUUCCCAGCAUGCCAUCACAUCCUAUUCCUUCUCAUUGGCUCCUACUGAGUCACAUGCUCACUUUUGAUCCCAGAGGGAAUCUGGGAUACUGUUGCUGUUGUCAUUGGGCGUCCUGAGUCAAUUCUGCCUCACAGCGAUCCCAUGUGACAGAGUAGAACUGCCCCAUAGGGUUUUCUUGGCUGUAAUGUUUAUGGGAGCAGAUCGCCUGGUCUUUCUCCCCGGUGGAGCUGCUGGGAUGGUUCAAACCACUAGCUGUUCCGUGAGUAGCUGAGCGUUUAACUGUUGUGCCACCAGGAGAAAAUGAAUAGGUGCUGGGCAGCAAAAACAAGGGAUGUGUAUUUGGUCAGCAGACCCUAUUAUAAUAACAUAAAGCUAUUAAAGACUGAAAUUUGCCUAAACCUGUGGGACUCCAGGUCUUUGGUCAUCAGUAUAUCACUAUGAGUGAUGCCUUGUGUUUCUAGGUCCAUGGGGUCUCUCCCGUGUCUCCACAUUCUUUGACAAAAAGAAAAAAAUCACAGGGUGGGGCCCAAGGGCUGAAGAAUUUGCUUGUUUAAUUAAAUAAAUUUCUUAAUACCCUAAAGCUUUGUGAUGAUAUAAAGUGCAAGUCUUAUAUACGGGACACAAGAGGUUUUAAUAGACUGGACGUGUGUUGCAAAUUAAAACAAUGUUAAAUUCCUUAGUAAUCCUAGCAGGGAGGAAAAAAAAGAAGAAAAGAAAAGAAAAACCCUCUGAUUUCCAAAUCACUACCAGCGGAAUUUUAAAAAUUAUUUACACACUUAGCUGUGAGUCCCUUUAUAUAUGACAGGUUUGGCAGGGAGAACUGAAGCAAUAAUUUAAAACAGAGCUUGAGAGUGUGUGUGAGGAACUGCCUGCUCCACUUUUCCAAAAUAAAUGUACCCUUGGAGCCACGAAAGAGGUGCCUUUUCCUAAGAACAGACUACAAGGUUGGGAGCCGGGCGCCUAUAGAUGACAUCAGCUGAUGGGACCGUGUGGAUACUGUCUGUGGGUGCUGGAAUGACGUGAGGCAUUCACUGGUUUGACGUAGAAGGAAAGAUGAGAAGACAGACCGACUCCUUGCCACAGAUCAUUACAUCUGAAUGUAGGUCGGUUUUAUGUACUUUAUACGGGAUCGCUGACACAUGGAAGGUUUUGUGGUUUUUGUUGGUGUUUUAAAUUCACCGGUCAUUAUCUUGUUAGUUGCCGUCAAGUGGGCUCUAAUUCAGGUGACCUUUUGUAUAACAGAACCAAACGUUGCCUGGUCCCGCACCAUCUUCAUGAUCAUUGGUAUGUUUGGGUACAUUACCUGGUAAAAUAGAAGGCCAACGAAAAAAGGGAAACUGUCAAUAAGAUGGAUUGACCCAGUAGGUGCGACAGUGGACUCCAACAGUCAUCCUCUGCUGAACUUCAUGUUGCGUUUUGUAGUAAGAGACCAGGAAGGCUCCAGUCCCUGCCUUCUGGAAGCGGACAUUCCAAAGUGACAAAGAAUGAGUCUUCUAGGCGGGAAUUGGAUCACCAUGCCCUCCCAGCAAUGGAGGGGGCCGUUGUUGAAUAUAUUUGGGUUAUAUGGAAAUGCUUUGGGAAAGGCAGCGUCAGCAGGGAAGGAAAGGAUGAAAUGGAAUCACCAGGCCUCUUAAACGUUCUCAGCUGCCACCAAGAUCCCGCCCACGCACCUAGACAUUCACUGUGUUCUGCUCAGCUUCUACCUGCUACUGCCUGCUGGCUUUUCCCCUGAACCACGCAGGACCACUUUGCUUACCCAGCAAUCGGAAGUGCUGGCAGACCACCACCCACCCCCAGAAGCCCUCAACCAAUGAUCUUGGGCAGGUGGUAUAGAGAUACCCUAGCUCCCUCACAACUCAGGUAGCAUAAUUCUUCUUCUUUUUUUAAUCUUUUAUUUUGAAAUAAUUUUAGAUUUACAGAAAAGUUGCAAAAUUAGCACAGAAAGUUCCUAUAUGUCCUUCAUCCAGCUCCCCCUAACGUUAAAGUCUUACCUACACGUAGCACAAUGAUCAAAACCAGGAAAGAAAACAAAGAUGUAGUAAGAAACGCAAGCCUAGUACAAAACCAAAGUCACGAAACUCUGUGCUGUCCAAAACCGGGUGUGUUUGUUGUUGUUGCAUGCUGUUGAGUCCAUUUUUGACUUAUAGGACCCCCCAUGUGACAGAGUAGAACUUCCCCGUAGGGCUAUCUUGGUGGUGCAGUGGUUGAGUACUUGGGUGCUAACCAAAAGGAUGACAGUUUGAACCCACCAGCUGCUGUGAGGGAGAAAGAUGUGGCAGUCUGCUUCUGUAAAGAUUACAGCCUUCAGAAGCCUGUGGGCAGCUCCACUGUGUCCUGUAGGGUCAUCAUGAGUUGGAAUUGACUUGAUGGUAACAAGUUUUUUUGGUUUAAUCUUUACGGAAGCAGAUUGCCAGGUCUUUCUCCUGAGGAGCCGCUAGGUGGAUUUAAACUGCCAACCUUUUAGCUAGCAGCCAAGCGCUUAACUGUUGUACCACCAGGGCUCCUUUGUUGUUGGUCUUUUUAGGUGCCAUUGAGUCAGUUUCAACUCAUGGCGAACCCGUGUACAACAGAACAAAACACUGCCCAGUUCUGCGCCAUCCGCACAAUUGUUGUUGUCUGACCCCAUCGUUGCAGCCACUGUGUCAGUCCAUCUCAUUGAGGGUCUUCCUCUCUUUCCCUGAACCUCUACUUUACCAUGCAUGAUGCCCUUCUCCAGGGACUGGUCCCUCCUGGUAAUAUGUCCAAAGUACAUGAGGGCUCCUUUAGGGAUUCGGAAUUUUUCUCGUAAUUUUGAAAAUACAUAUAUUACAGAACUCCGCUCCCCCCACCUCAGAGUUUGGAGAAGAACUCUGUAAUAAAACUUUAGCUUCUGCGGUAAGUCAUCAGGAUUGUCACACUAAUCUCAUGUCAGUUCAGGUCAGGUUUUGCUGCCAAAUCAGUCACGAGAACAUCUUUGGAUUCUGGGUCUGUGUACGUGGGACUGUGGGCCUCUAUCUCCUUUCCAGCCUGACGCUUGGAGUUAGCUUCCUUCAGAGAAGCCUGUGGUGUUACCCUGUUGGUUUGCAUCAGCAUAUUCCAUUGGGCCAAGCAGACAACCUGGAAGAGAACUUAAUUCCCUGUUUCUCGUGAGUCGUGUUGUGCAUUUGGGGAGAGAUGUAUGAACGUAGGUGACCACGCGUGGCUUCUGUGGUAGGGAUACUGUGAACUUCAAGACGCGUGUGACUGAAAAGCUCGCGUGGGUUUGCCCCGUCCUCCCAGUGUCCGGUCAGAUCUCCUGGGGUGGCUCCAACUCCUCCCCUCAUUGUUAGCCCUUUAGGUCUGGGCAGCCAGGAGGCCUGACGUGGCCCUGUUUCCACAGAGCGGUGGCCCAGAAAGGGAGCGCAGCUUGGCAACCAAAGAGAUAUUUCACCGCAAGGAAAAAUAUGCACGCACUGUUGGUUAAUUUUCCUUUUAGCCCCAGAGCCCUCUAAGGGGUGUGCGCUGAGGACUCUAAUCUGCUCUGCACCAUGCAAAGAAGAGCCGAGUUGAAAUGCAUAAACAGAACUUUGAAGAUGUAAUGAAACACAGAUCUUUGCUUGCAGAAAAGACGUUUUAAAUAAGAGGUCUUUCAGGCUUGCACCCCUCCCCCAUCCCUCCUUUGAUUUACAGGUUUCUUAGACACCGUGAAGGAGCCCUGGUGGUGCAAUGGCUAAGCACUCGGCUGCUAACCAAAAGGUUGGUGGUUUGAACCCACCCAGUGGCUCCUCGGGAGAAAAGACCUGGAGAUACGCUCCCAUAAACUUUAUAGCCUACAAAGCCCUAUGGGGCAGUUCUGCUCUGUCCCAUGGGGUCACUUUGAGUCAGAAUAGACUUGACAGCACACAACGAUGACGACAACAUAGUUGUGAUGUUGAAUGCCAAUGAAUAUCCAGUUCCAUAAAACAGUGGUCACCUGUAUAGCUGUAAUACACUCUGAUGUGUUCUGUUGCAUUCUAUUGUGUUCUGUGUCAUGCCAUUCCAUUUCCCGUUUAAAAAAAAAAAGUGCUGACCCAGACCUUCUAAAUCGAUUUCAUAACCCACUAAUUUGUCAUGACCCACAGUUUGAAAAUGCUGCCCUAACCCUGUGGUUCCCAAACCUUCUUCUGCCUAAGUACUGCCUGGAAGCUUGUUAAAAACGCUGAUUUCCCAUUCACAGAGAUUCUCAUUCUGCUGCCCUGGAGCGAGGCCCAGGAAUCUGCGUUUCGGAAGUCCCCGAAGUGCUUCUGAUGCAGGUGGCUCAGGGCCACUCUUGCAGAAACACCCACCCACACUGCAGCAUGAAGUUUGUCUCCCGACUGCCUUAGAUACUUUGGUCUAGUUUUAGGUUCUACGUUUUGCCUAGAAUUAAAUCCACUUAGCGGGAGGUACCUUGUGCCUAGUGCUAAAAUUCAUGGCUUUUAUCAUAAAAAUUAUCCCUGGCGAGGUCAGCUUCAAGGCCCAGGAUUCCCCACGGGCACUUGAUGUGGUAUGUAACCUGGAAGAUUGUAAAUCUGCCCUUGCUUUUCAAGUUACAGGUGGGGAAGGAGAAUUCUGAGCUACAGAGCAGGGUUUUCCUCAAGAGGGGAGACCAACUGGUGUCUCGGAGUAAAUUAGGAAAAUCAUCUUGCCAUCAGGAGUCCCUGGGGAGAACAAGCAGUUAACACACUCAGCUGAUAACUAAAAGAUUGGAGGUUCGAGUCCACCCUGAAGUGCUCAGAAAGGCCUGGCAAUCUGCUUCCGAAAAACCAGCUAUUGAAAACCUUGUGCAGCACAGUUCUGCUCUGACCACACGGGGUCACCACGAGUCAGAGUUAACCUGAUGGCAAGUGCACCUACUGUGUGUCGUGCCCCAUGCUCACUGUUUGGAGCACAGUAAUGAUUAAGAGGGAGGACUGAGAUGUGCCUGACCCAAGCCAUGGUAUUUUCAAUCGGCUCAUAUCCAUGUGAAACCUUGACGAUGAAUAAGGAAGACCAAAGAAGAGUUGAUACCUUUCAAUUAUGCUGUUGGCGAAGAAUAUUGAAUAUACCGUGGACUGCCAGAAGAACGAACAAAUCGGUCUUGGAAGAAGUACAGCCAGAAUGCUCCUUAGAGGAGUUUUCUUGGAAUUGCAUUGAAGUUCUGGAUUGAAGUGGAGGUGAAUCAACAUCCUUACAAAAUUGAGCCUUCUCAUCUAAAGAACGAGGAGCCCUGAUGGCACAGCAGUUAAGCACUCAGCUGCUGCCCUGAAGACUGGCAGUUGGAGCCCACCAAGUGACUUCACAGAAGAAAGACCUGGCAAUCUUUUCCUCUAAAGACUACAGCCAAGAAAGCUCAAUGCGGAAGCUCUACUCUGUCACAUGGAGUCACUGUGAGUCGAAAAUCAGCUUGGCAGCACACAACAUGUUUGUGUAAGCUACGACUACCACUGUUACUCUUAUUACUAUUGUUGUUGUUUUUGUUACCCAAGGUCACCCUUUUCUCCUCCUCCCCGGGGUCAAGGGUAGCCACUUUUUACCCGAGGUAAGGGAGGGAACAGAUUUAAAGGCUGUAUUUUUCUGAAUCUAAAAUUGGAACAUGAGUAAAACUGUAGAAGGGGGAGAAGUGAAACAACACAGAAGAGGAAUCUUCACGUUGCCACUGAAAAUCGCGCAGCGUGGCCGUUGGAUAAAUCCCUUCCUCUGGAAAGGCACAAAUGCUGCCUCUUAUCAAAUAGUUUUUUCCAGCUUUCCUGAAAAUGUGGAAGCACAAAGGUCAUUCGCUUUUCUUUACAGGUGGAAACUGAGAACUUAAUCCAUUUACUAUCACUCACCUUCACCGUGAGUUUGUGGGACAGCCAGAAUUGGAAUUCUCACCUCCAGUCUUAGCGCCCACACCGCAGAACUGUGCUGCCUGCUGCAGGCUGGAACCUUCUGCCUGAACCCCUACCCUACGAUAGAUACCUGUCUUACCUCUGAGGCAGUAGUUCUCACAGUGGGGUCCCAGGAUCUCCUGGGAGCUUGUUAGAGAUGCAACUCAGUGCCUACCCCCCACUGGAGGGGUGGAGCCUGGGAAUCUGCAUUCAUUCUCACAGACCCUCCAGGGGAAGCCCAGAGGGGAAGUUAGGCAGCUGCUCUUCCAGAGAACGGUGGAAAAGUGGUUAGUUGCUGAAUAGCGGCUUCACCUUGAGCCAGAGAGGCUGGACGAUUUGAAGCAGCGCCCUGGGCCACCGCACAUUUUGACCUCGUUGGGCCCGAUUUUCCAUCCCUUCUAUGGCUUGCCCCUGGCUCUAGAGCCCACUUCUGGGCUGGCAGUAAAGCCGCCUCUGUCCGCAUGUGGCUCCCCGGUCCCGAGAAGGAAGCCAGGGCUCUUGGGAGCCUGCCUGCCCUGGCAGCUACCCUAGGGGUGUGUUCCCUGGCAGAGGGCCUGGAUUCUCCUCCCACUGCCGCAGCCACACCCGUGGCUCCUUCAUGGGGGCUCACAAAGCUGCACUAUUGGGAGGGGGAGCAGCAUCGGCGCCCGGCAGGGGUUUCUGGUCACACCAACACUGGCGUGGAAGCCUUGUUGUGCUGCCCACAUGGAUCGUUAUUUCAGCUAUCUGAUCUGAUUCUCCAAAGUGGAGAUUCUGCUUCUUUCCCCUGGUUUGCAUAAUCAACUUUUCACCUGCUUACUGUGCCCCAUUCCACCUGCUCACCUUCUGUCUCUCACCUGAGCCCUGAUAACCCUCAUGGAAGCACAGAACACAUCUUGCUUAGCCUGGUCACCCGUCCUUCCACCUCUCCAGCUUACAGGCACUUUGAAGAGUUCCUUUCAACUGCGGGAAGCUUUAGAGCCCAAGGUCCAUCCUCUUCCAGUCUGGAAUGGACUAAGAUAGACCAGGGAGAAAGGCCUGGCAAUCUACUUCUGAAAAUUAGCCAAAUGGAGACCGUAUGGAUCACAACAGAACAUGCUUGCUUUGGACUAGUCAUCAAGAGGUGUCCAUUUCCGGAGGAGGCCAUCAUGUUUGUGAAGUAGAGGGCCAGUGAGGGCAUGGGAGACCCUUGGUGAAAUGGAUUGACACAGUAGUCUCAGUGAGGGACUUAAACAUGCUGUCGAUUUUGAGAAUGACUCAGGACUGGGCAGUGUUUCGUUCUGUUGUACGUAAGGUCGCAGCUCUCCAAGGCAGCUAACACAGCAACACAACUUUGGGGAAGUCACUUCACCUCUGACCUCUCAGUUUCCCAAACUGCAAAAUGGAAAAUGUGCCCCUAGGGCUUAUCAUAUAUACAUAAUGUAUAUUAUAUAUAAAAUAAUAGUAAUUAUUAUCGAUCACUCAUAUCGCAGACAAGCGAGUUGAGCUAGAAAACAGCGGAGAGACUCCUUCUCCCCCUUGAGGACAGACGCCUUCUGCUUUGUAGAUCUGGGAGGGAGGCCGGGGUGGGGGCUUGGCUAACUAUCUCAACUUAAGACACAACUUUAGCAGUGACCUUCAGCAGCCCUGCAAAGAGCAGCCCUAUACUCCCACCCUCCGUUCUCUCGCUCAGCAAAGGAAGUCCAUAGGUCAUCAAGCUCGAUGGAUCCUAGUGAGGAAUGAAUUCGCCUGUGGGCCCAGGGCAGCAGAGCCGUUUUUACAUGGACACAUUGUUGGACAGCUUCCUUUCUCAGGGCUAAAAAACACGGUCCCCUCCAGGAUGCUGUCAACACGCGGACCUGCUCAGGUGGAGAAAUAAUAACAAUAAAGAUAGCAACUACUGGUGGUAAUCAUAACAAACAGAUAAAUAGCAGCUGCUUUGUCCCUUAAUGUCUUAUAAGAUUUACUAGUCAUUUAGUCCUGUCCUAAAAAGGAGCACUGGUGGUGCAACGGUUAAGCGCUCAGCUGCUAAUUGAAAGCUUGGCUGUUUGAACACACCUGGCAGCUCAGUGGGAGAAAGACUGGGAAGUCUGCUCCCGUAAAGUUCUACUCUGUCACACAGAGUUGCUAUGAGUUGAAAUUAAUGGCUGCUAACAACCUUUUUUUUUUUUUUUUUUU